rnacentral:rRNA from 1 species
GACGAACGCUGGCGGCGUGCUUAACACAUGCAAGUCGAACGGAAAGGCCCUGCUUUUGUGGGGUGCUCGAGUGGCGAACGGGUGAGUAACACGUGAGUAACCUGCCCUUGACUUUGGGAUAACUUCAGGAAACUGGGGCUAAUACCGGAUAGGAGCUCCUGCUGCAUGGUGGGGGUUGGAAAGUUUCGGCGGUUGGGGAUGGACUCGCGGCUUAUCAGCUUGUUGGUGGGGUAGUGGCUUACCAAGGCUUUGACGGGUAGCCGGCCUGAGAGGGUGACCGGCCACAUUGGGACUGAGAUACGGCCCAGACUCCUACGGGAGGCAGCAGUGGGGAAUAUUGCACAAUGGGCGAAAGCCUGAUGCAACAACGCCGCGUGCGGGAUGACGGCCUUCGGGUUGUAAACCGCUUUCGCCUGUGACGAAGCGUGAGUGACGGUAAUGGGUAAAGAAGCACCGGCUAACUACGUG